UUUGAGCAAUAUGGCAGAACUCUCAUGUCCUGUGGCUGGAUCCCUCAAUACAAGCUCUGAAAAACAUUGUCACAUUGGCUGCCACCCAGAGGCAUAGAGACCUACAAAGAUGUCAUGGGGGAAAGCAAAGAUAAACUGUGGGAAAAGUGUUGCUUCUGUUCGACUCAGGCUGUUGCCAUAGUAACAGCGGAGCUUAUCAACAACAGGCGAUGUUUUGUUUUAGCAAAGAUAUUAACGAUAGCUAGCAAGCAGGCUAUCAAAGGAAUAUUAGCUAGCUGAUGAGAUCAAAUGGCUGACAAACGUGGUUUGGAGAAACUGGACUUUGGUGCAUUAAGCAUCGAGCAACAGCAGCAACUCCGACAAUUUAAGAUGUAUUUCUCAAAAGACCCAGACAUUCGAGAGUAUGCAGCAGAUUACUUCACCGACCCAAACCUUGGUUUGAUCAUUGGCUCCAAACUGCAGAGCGAUCCUGCCGACACAGGCACAGACUGAAUCCUUACCGGAUUGCUUGGCAGUUCAACUGUUAUUGAAGUGUAAAGCUGUAACAGGCCUCUUUCUCUGUAUUGACUAGUUAUGUGUCAAAGUAACAAUAUAGAAAUAUAAAACAUUAUAUAAAGUGGGUAUGUACUGGCACCCAGGCAGAUGUUCUUACUGAGCAUCAUUACAACAGGUUAGUUACAGGGCUACAGAAGGAUGUUUUAUACCGCUGGUUGAUUGGAAAAUAUAGAUUUCUAGGCCUAUAGGGUGGAGUGGACAGCCUCUUUACAGGAGUUCUCAGGGAAAAGUCUAAAUGGGAUCAUUGGGACGUCCCAACUCUGACGUUAAGCCAUCGAUGUUGAAAUAUAAAACGGUUAAGGUUACCGAUGUCCCAAGGAUUCCGGAUAGCACUAACCUUUUCCUCAAGCCUCAAGAGUUCCCCCUUCUGGACUCUUAUGUACUUCCACUAACUCCCCAACUCAUCAGAUGAAACAAAAAACAUUAAGCAAGAUGAGACAAUGUGACCGCAGCAAUACUGACCAUAACUUUAGAAAGAUCUGACCACACUGGAUACACAGUUUAAAUGUUUAAUGAAUUAAAAAUCAUCAAGUAA